GCUGCAAUACUGCAGAAGAAAGUGACCUUGGGAAGGAAGAGUGGUCUAGGUAUAAAGCAACAUCAUUGAGCGCUUAGCCUGACGCCUCUUGAAGCAGAUUUGAAACAAAAAUUAUGUAAAUGAGAACCCUACUGAGAGCCAGGUUCUAACGUUUAGACGGAGAAGGGUCUUAAGAUAGCAGUUGGGUUAGAAGAAGAAUGAAGAGAACUCACUGGAAGCCGUGAUUAUUCCUUCAGCGAGUGGGAAAAAAAAGGCUGCUGUGAAACAGCGAAACGGUGAACAAUUCGGACAUCACGAAGCAGAGCAAAUCCCGUUUGAAUCUGGUCUGUGAUCUAAUGAGUGACAGCCCGACAAAGUGAGAAUUCAGGCAACAAAUGAUGCAUCAGGUGGAGUCCUAGGUUGUAAAUGAAAUAAGCCACCUCUGGCUAACUUAAGCAGGAAGGGAAGGUGUCAGAAUGAUAUUCCAUUGCUCACAAACCAACGUGAAGCCCAAAGAGCCGGACCU